rnacentral:lncRNA from 1 species
GUUGGUAGAAAACACUAUCUUCAGCACGAAUUUAAAUUUCCCCUACCAAAAAAUUUCGAGAUUACCCCCUCGUUUCUUCACUUCCACAUCGGCUAAUUUGAAAGGGAACCCCCAUUUAUUUUUCAAUAUAAAGCUCAUCAUUGAGCUGAAAAUCUAAAAUCUUGAAGGAUGGGGAAAAUACCUUUUGAGUAAAAACAGUCUUGUUUCAUGGUAAAGAGUUUUUUUCAGCACGUUCGUUGACUGAUUGUGGUUUCCGAGUUGACGACGACGUUAUUUUUUGGUGGUUGCGAUUUCGAUGAAAGCCCGAUUCCGAUUUUACUGCUCCAAAAUAGGUAACAUUCUGUUCCAUUUAGUUCUGAUUAUUUCUGCUUCGUCUCGAUAUUCUGCAGUUAUAUUUCGAUGACGUUGUUUGCUGAGAGUAGCUGUAGAUGACCUUGAAGGCCCUAGGUUCGUUUAACUAUUUCUGCUUCGUCUCGAUAUUCUGCAGUUAUAUUUCGAUGACGUUGUUUGCUGAGAGUAGCUGUAGAUGACCUUGAAGGCCCUAGGUUCGUUUAACUAUUUCUGCUUCGUCUCGAUAUUCUGCAGUUAUAUUUCGAUGACGUUGUUUGCUGAGAGUAGCUGUAGAUGACCUUGAAGGCCCUAGGUUCGUUUGUUAAAAGUGACUGAUUUCAAAGAACCGAUAGGUCUGAGGUGUUAGUUAUUGCGUUUUCUCUUAUUGUUUUGGUGUUCCGUCAAUGAUUUAGCUUCUUGUCUUGUUUAAGAUUCAAAUGUUAUUCUAAGUAGUUACUCCCGAUAAAUAUUCUGUAUUUAAUCUUUAAUUGAUGCUAUAAUAUAUUGAAUCUGUCAUCCCUCCUGUUUGAAUGUAUAUUGGCAUCUCAGUUUGUUGGUUGGUUUGCUGAAAAAGAGUAUCAUAGUCCUUAAAUCGACAAAAUCUGGUGUUUACAAUGUUCUUUUCACUCAACUGUUCAGCUUUCCCUUCACAAAAAUUUUCCAGCAUCUUUUAUUUUGAUGUGUUGAUUUUCUUUGUCAUUAUGGUCGCAUAUGCUAAAAUUUAGCAUGCUUAAGUCGUUAGUGUAAAUUGGUUUAUCGUCGUUGUAAGUUAAAAGAUGCAUUUUUGGGUGCGCCAUGUAUGAUGUAACUUGAAAUUUUGUUUAGCAUAAUGCUAUGUUUUCUUGAUAAAUUAAAAUCCUACUCAUAUCUAGUGUCUUACUUCUCCAAUCUAUUUAGUUAGGAGUAUAAUCCGAUCGUUUAAAGCAUUUAAUGCUAAUUCGGUAUAAUGUUUAAAUAUUCUUGAUGUCAUAUAUUGUUUGAUAACCUUCAUGUACCUGAAAAUGCUUUGUCUAACACUGAUUGGUUCUUUCACAUCCCCCAAGUGGAUAAUUUUUAUGUAGUUAAAUUUCCAUGAGUUUUCUUACGGUUUCUAAGGAGAAAUUUCAUAUGAUGUAUGGUUUUUGUGAUAUAGUAUUGUUUUUCUCUGUGAUAAUUUUGGCAUCAGUAUUUUGAAACUUAGCACUAUGCUUAGUCUCACUGCGCCAAGUAGAUAAUUUUUAUGUAGUUAAAUUGCCAUGAGUUUUCUUUUGGUUUCUAAGGAGAAAUUUCACAUGAUGUAUGAUUUCUGUGAUAUAGUUUUUUUCUCUGUGAUAAUUUUGGCAUCAGUAUUUUGAAACUUAGCACCAUGCUUAGUCUCACAGUUUAAGUAAUGAAAUAUUGAAAGGGAUUAAGGAGAUUUGACUCAAAUUGUGGAAAAUAUCUCUGGUCAGUUUGAAUAAAUAAUAUGUAAUAGUUACGUGGGUUAAUCAAGACACUAAUGUUAAUCAAUGUGUUAAUUUUAUUUCUCUUUUCCUUCGUUAAUCAUGUAUUAAUGUGCUCUAUUUUCUCGUUUUGCAUGGAAAUUCGUUGGAGUCCAAACGGACUCUUUCCUUUUGCAUUUCAUAAAGGGCCAAUGAAGCCCAUCUUAUUGAGUCAGGCCCGAAGAAAGUCUAAAAAUCACAUGGCAUACGAAAGCAAUGAGACAGAACAAGAUAAUGGGUCCAAGCCCAUUGACGCAGUACUAAUAUUUGGAGAAUUGAAAAAGUCUCAUUCCUUUUUAUUUAUUAUUUAGUAUCACUUUAUUUGUCUUUAUUCGUUUAGUUGUUUAUUCAUUUUGGGCCUCGAAGUCAAAGUUGUAAAUUUAAUACAGGUGAAGCAAGACUCGAGCCAAAGGCUCGAAAACCAGAUUAGGACAGGUGAAAUGGGUCGAAAGCCCAAUUAGACUAGGGCAGGUCUCGUUGAUUUGGGCUCAAUGGUCUAAGUCUUUUACUUCCUCCUCACUUUCCCCUUUUUUGUGUAUAUUUGCCUAUUAGUUUGUUCAGACUUAGUUAAAAUCCCUACUAAGUCGCCCAAAUUUAUUUUACAUGUCUUUUUAAAAAAAAAUCAAUCACUUUUCAACAAAUCAAUCUUUUUGAAGUUAGUCAAAAGAUGUUUUCAAACAGUCCGGAUAACCGCAAGUUAGCGGACAUUUUAGGUGCCUUAAACCUUCCUAAAACGUUAAUAGAAACCGCUUAAUCAGAAUUUUUAAAUUUAAAGGAUUUUGCUGUUUUGGAUCGUUUAAAGUAUCUUAUAAAUAUUUCUCAAUUCCGUUUCAAAAUUAAGUGGCAACUCUCUUAAGUCAAAAUUUUUCGUAAAACAAAAAUGUCGACUCCGCUGGGGAUAGUUAACUAGGUUCUAACCAAAUGUUUAAUUUUAUCUUUUGAUUAACUGUUUAAUCACUUAUGUGUUUUGAUUUUUGUGGAAUUUAGUUAUUGCAUCUCAUAGCAUAAUCUCGCAUUGCUUAUUAAAUUGUUUGGGGCUUUGUAGAUGUCCCGACCCCUGUUGUUCGGAAAUACAAUGGUUUAUUAGAACGUGAGUCGUCUGAUGACCGUUCGUAUUUCCAAACACAAGUCGUCCACUUGGGAACCUGGUUCAAACCCCCUAUAGACCCUAGGAUAGAGCGAAACCAAAACCCUAUUUUAGGCAUGAGACUAGGACGACCCAAUACCCAAUGGGGUAUUGGGCCCAUUAGAAAACUUUUCCUGCGACUAUUGACCCUGAGUUAAUUACAGACAAAUCAUAUUUACGUGUUGAAGAAAUAUAUAUUUGUUUAAUCCAUUCCAUUAUCCUUUGGGGGUCGGGAGAAAGCUUGUUUUACUCACUUUCUUGUAAGGAUGCGUAAAUCAUACACUAGCUAAGGGAAGCAAGCCAAGUAAGAAAUUGACCGAUUUGGAUGGUUGCAUCUAGAAAAGCUAUAGGAAAAUAACUUAAUCAUCAACGGAUGUCGCCAAUGACAAGAAGCGGACAAAGCUAAGAAGGCGAAGGCCGAUAGAAGAAGCAUUCAGGAGUUUGUAUUUCCUAUCCCCUGUGCGGGACAUCAUUCUUUUUCUUAUUUUAUUUUCCUUUCCCUAAAGAUUGAACCCCUUUUGUGUAGCUUUUGUAGGCAUUUAUGUCAUUUAUGUAUAUCUAUGAAAUUAGGAGAUAAUGAAUUGGCUUUAAAAAUACAUAUAUUUUCUUCAAAGUUCGUCAGGCCUAAACCCUUGGCUCAAAAGGGUCACCCUAGAUAGGAUACGCGUUAUUAUAAUAUCUUUAUGCGAUAUAACUGCCUUAUGUGUUUAUGUGCAUUUAUUUGAAUCAAAGGCAAGUUUAUCCACGAUGUUCAUAUGGAUCAAUUUGGCUAUGACAACUCUACGUGGUUAUUUUUUGUCAAGUAUUUUGCAUUACUUAUCACAUAUGGAAACUAACACAUCUUUCUUUGAGUUAUUUUACUUUGCAGAUGAUAGAAAACUACUCCGUGUUGAAAUAAGCUGGCAGAACAUCCUUACUUCACCCGGUCAAAAGCGUAUAAGAUCCCAUCCCCUAAUCCAUCAUUCAAACAAGACUGGGAGUGACCAAAAAAAAUGCAUUGACCAUCAGGGAUAAUGCAAUAGUGGAAUAAAGCGAGAUGACUGCUGAACUCAUGAGAAAAUUGGAAAUGCUUCAGGAGGAGAUGAAUCGUACUCAAGAUUUGCUAACUUGGCCAUCAUUGUCAAUGCUCCCGCUCCAAGAGGACACAGGACUCCACUCCAGAUCCCUCCCCUCAGUACGCCUAUUCUCAGGGACCAUCCAAAUAACAUAUCGUCCGUUUCCACUCCUCAACUAGUCCAAAACACCAAUCGAGAAAAUAACCCAGAUGCUUAGCAUCUACAAAAUCCAUCCCUAACCCUACAAAAUCCAUCUCUAAAUUCACAAAAUUAAUUUCCAAAUCCCCAGAACCAGCUUUCAAACCCACAAAACCUGCUUUCAAAUCCAUAAAAUUUGGACCCAAAUCUACAAAAUCCAUCCCCAAAUCUACAAAAUCCGCUAAAUCCACUAUAGGCGGCCUAUAUCGGCUUUAGUCAACCCAUUAUAUUUUUUCAUAUAUCCAUAAUAUCAUGCAUAUGCAAACGCAUACAAUACAUAUGUAUACAUGUUAAGAAAACCAACUUUGCA